rnacentral:rRNA from 1 species
CCUGAAACCGGAUGCUUACAAGCAGUUGGAGCCUCUUUAUGAGGUGACAGCGUACCUUUUGUAUAAUGGGUCAGCGACUUAAUCUCAUUAGCAAGCUUAAGCCACAUAGGUGUAGGCGAAGCGAAAGCGAGUCUGAAUAGGGCGAUUUAGUUAAUGGGAUUAGACUCGAAACCGAGUGAUCUAGUCAUGAGCAGGUUGAAAGUGAAGUAAAAUUCACCGGAGGACCGAACCCACUAGCGUUGAAAAGCUACGGGAUGACUUGUGAUUAGGGGUGAAAGGCCAACCAAACUCGGAAAUAGCUAGUUCUCCGCGAAAACUAUUUAGGUAGUGCGUCGUGUGAAUCUUGUCGGGGGUAGAGCACUGAAUGGGCUAGGGGGAAGCAAUUCCUACCAAACCUAAUCAAACUCCGAAUACCGAUAAGUCUGCACGGCAGACAGUCCAUGGGUGCUAAGGUCCUUGGACGAGAGGGAAACAGCCCAGAUCAACAGCUAAGGUCCCCAAAUAAUGAUUAAGUGUGAAAGGGAGUGGGAACUCCAAGACAGCCAGGAGGUUGGCUUAGAAGCAGCCAUCCUUUAAAGAAAGCGUAACAGCUCACUGGUCUAAUUAAGAGAUCCUGCACCGAAAAUGUAACGGGGCUCAAAUCAUUUACCGAAGCUUUGACAAUUACUUUGUAAUUGGGUAGCGGAGCGUUCUGUAAGCCUGUAAAGGUGAUGCGUAAGCAUUGCUGGAGGUAUCAGAAGUGCGAAUGCUGACAUGAGUAACGAUAAGAAAUGUGAAAGACAUUUCCGCCGAAAUCCUAAGGUUUCCUGCGUAAAGCUAAUCUGCGCAGGGUUAGUCGGCCCCUAAGGCGAGGGCGAAAGCCGUAGUCGAUGGGAAGCAGGUUAAUAUUCCUGCACCAGCUGGUAGUGACGGAUGAAGUAAAUUGUAAGUUCUUACUGGAUUGAGCUUGCAGUGAAUUUGUCCCUGGAAAUAGCUCCAGCAUUAGACCGUACCAAAACCGACACAGGUAGGAGGGUAGAGAAUACCAAGGCGCUUGAGAGAACUAUGUUGAAGGAACUCGGCAAAUUACACUUGUAACUUCGGGAUAAAAGUGACCUGCUAUUGGGCAACCAGUAGGAGGUGGCACAGAAGAGGGGGUAGCGACUGUUUACUAAAAACAUAGCACUAUGCAAAGUCGAAAGACGACGUAUAUGGUGUGACGCCUGCCCGGUGCCGGAAGGUUAAUAGGAGGGGUGCAAGCCCUGAAUUGAAGCCCCGGUGAACGGCGGCCGUAACUAUAACGGUCCUAAGGUAGCGAAAUUCCUUGUCGGGUAAGUUCCGACCUGCACGAAUGGCGUAACGAUUUCCCCACUGUCUCCAACAUAGACUCAGUGAAAUUGAAUUCUCGGUUAAGAUGCCGAGUAACCGUGGUUAGACGGAAAGACCCCGUGCACCUUUACUGCAGCUUUGUAUUGGUAUUAGGGAACAGAUGUGUAGCAUAGGUGGGAGACUUUGAAGGAGUGGCGCUAGCCAUUCUGGAGUCACUAGUGAAAUACCACUCUUCUGUUCCUUGAUGCCUAACCAUACACCGUCAUCCGGUGUUGGGACCAUGCAUGGUGGGCAGUUUGACUGGGGCGGUCGCCUCCCAAAGAGUAACGGAGGCGCGCGAUGGUAGGCUCAGAACGCUUGGAAACCGUUCGUCGAGUGCAAUGGCAUAAGCCUGCCUGACUGCGAGACCCACAAGUCGAGCAGAGACGAAAGUCGGUCAUAGUGAUCCGGUGGCACUUCGUGGAAGGGCCAUCGCUCAACGGAUAAAAGGUACGCCGGGGAUAA